GACGAACGCUGGCGGCGUGCUUAACACAUGCAAGUCGAACGGAAUCCAUGGGUGUAGCAAUACACCGGAAGAUUUAGUGGCGAACGGGUGAGGAUCACGUGAGAAACGUGCCCCAGACUCUGGGAUAACAAUUGGAAACGAUUGCUAAUACCGGAUGACGUCGGAGAACCGCAUGGUUCACUGACGAAAGAUAUUUCGGUUUGGGAGCGUCUCGCGGCCUAUCAGCUUGUUGGUGGGGUAAUGGCCUACCAAGGCAACGACGGGUAGCUGGUCUGAGAGGAUGAUCAGCCACACUGGGACUGAGACACGGCCCAGACUCCUACGGGAGGCAGCAGUGGGGAAUCUUGCGCAAUGGGCGAAAGCCUGACGCAGCAACGCCGCGUGCGGGAUGAAGGCCUUCGGGCCGUAAACCGCUUUCAGCAGGAACGAAAAUGACGGUACCUGCAGAAGAAGGAGCGGCCAACUACGUGCCAGCAGCCGCGGUGACACGUAGGCUACAAGCGUUGUCCGGAUUUAUUGGGCGUAAAGAGCUCGUAGGCGGUUGAGUAAGUCGGGUGUGAAAACUCUGGGCUUAACCCGGAGACGCCAUCCGAUACUGCUCUGACUAGAGUUCAGGAGGGGAGUGGGGAAUUCCUAGUGUAGCGGUGAAAUGCGCAGAUAUUAGGAGGAACACCGGUGGCGAAGGCGCCACUCUGGACUGAAACUGACGCUGAGGAGCGAAAGCAUGGGUAGCAAACAGGAUUAGAUACCCUGGUAGUCCAUGCCGUAAACGGUGGGCACUAGGUGUGGGUUCCAACUAACGGGAUCCGCGCCGUCGCUAACGCAUUAAGUGCCCCGCCUGGGGAGUACGGUCGCAAGACUA
rnacentral:rRNA from 1 species